GACAGCAGUCGCCGCGGUAAUACGUAGGUCCCGAGCGUUGUCCGGAUUUAUUGGGCGUAAAGCGAGCGCAGGCGGUUAGAUAAGUCUGAAGUUAAAGACUGUGGCUUAACCAUAGUACGCUUUGGAAACUGUCAAACUUGAGUGCAGAAGGGGAGAGUGGAAUUCCAUGUGUAGCGGUGAAAUGCGUAGAUAUAUGGAGGAACACCGGUGGCGAAAGCGGCUCUCUGGUCUGUAACUGACGCUGAGGCUCGAAAGCGUGGGGAGCGAACAGGAUUAGAUACCCGGGUAGUCCCUGUCUCUUAUACA
rnacentral:rRNA from 1 species